rnacentral:rRNA from 1 species
ACUGGGAUUCCCUUAGUAACGGCGAGCGAACGGGGACCAGUCCAGCGCCGAAUCUCUCGUCCCCAGUGGGCGUUUGAGAAAUGUGGCGUUUAGGAGGAAGCGUGCCGGAGUCGGACCUAGCAGCAAGUCCCCCUGACCGGGGCUCUUUCCCGAAGCGGGUGCGAGGCCCGUAGCUGCAGGGUUCUCUUCGGAUGCGACCUCUCGGGAGUCGGGUUGCUUGGGAGUGCAGCCCUAAGUGGGUGGUAAACUCCACCUAAGACUAAAUACGACCGUGAGACCGAUAGCAAACAAGUACCGUGAGGGAAAGUUGCAAAGAACUUUGAAGAGAGAGUUCAAGAGUACGUGAAACUGCUCAGAGGCAAACGGGUGGGCCCUCGAAGUCCUUUUGCGAGGGGAUUCAGUCGGAAGCUCCGUGGGACGGCUCUUUCCCUAACGAUUCGCACCCAUCAUCGGGGCGAGGGAUGGAGCCAGUUUCUCUCGCGUCCGACGCAUUUCCUCUCGCGUGGUGGACGCCGCAACCGCUCGGGUAGCAGCAAGAGUCGGCCACAAGGUUCGGCGCGGAAGGUAGACCGGGGUGCGCGUACCUCCCGUACGAGGCGCCACCGGUUGUUAAAGCCAGCCGAUACCGUGGCGCGACACCCGAGCGAGGUCGGAGUUCUCGAUGCCGGGAACGACAGCCGUCCCCUUGUCGCAAGCGGGUGUGCCUUCAGGCCAGUCCCCUCGGACGGCGACCCACCCACAGCGGUGGCCGCCACUUGGGUCGACGGUCGUUGGUUGAACAUACCCCGCGGGGGAUAACUGUGCCUCCUCCGGAGGUUAGCGGCGAGUAGGU